GUCUACGGCCAUACCAUCCUGAACGCGCCCGAUCUCCUCUGAUCUCGGAAGCAACCUUGUUUCUUAUCUAAAUUUAAACUGGAAAAUAAAAAAAAUUUUCUUCGCUGAGACA
rnacentral:rRNA from 1 species